rfam:Carboxydocella sporoproducens DSM 16521 genome assembly, contig: BR84DRAFT_scaffold00017.17
CGCGAAGUCCACCUCAAGAUAAGAUUUCCCACUGGGUAAACCAGGUAAGACCCCUGGAAGAAGACCAGGUAGAUAGGCCGGGAGUGUAAGAGCCGCAAGGCUUUGAGCGGACCGGUACUAAUAGGUCGAGGUCUUAACCUC